rnacentral:rRNA from 1 species
UGGGGAAUUUUGUGCAAUGGGGGAAACCCUGACACAGCGACACCGCGUGAGCGAAGAAGCCCCUUGGGGUGUAAAGCUCUGUCGGCUGGAACGAAAAAAAUGACGGUACCAGCAAAGGAAGCAUCGGCUAACUACGUGCCAGCAGCCGCGGUAAGACGUAGGAUGCGAGCGUUGUCCGGAUUUAUUGGGCGUAAAGAGUUCGUAGGUGGUUUGGUAAGUCUGAUGUUAAAGAUCGGGGCUCAACCCCGGGAGUGCAUUGGAAACUACCAGACUCGAGUGUAGUAGAGGCAAGCGGAAUUCCCAGUGUAGCGGUGAAAUGCGUAGAUAUUGGGAAGAACACCAGUGGCGUAAGCGGCUUGCUGGGCUACAACUGACACUGAGGAACGAAAGCCAGGGUAGCGAAUG